GCCAUUUCGGGUUUGGCCAUAGAAAAUUCACCCCUCCAAAUCUUCCUCCAAAAAUUAUUUUCUUGUGGUAUUCCUACUAAUUUAAGGGUCCUUUACAACUUGGUGUAAUUGUUUUGGAAGAAGGAGCACUUAUUUCUUCAAGUUGACAACUUGUUCAAGUGAAGGAGUUGUAGAAAAAGGUAAGAAUCAAUUCCUUUUUCUUAUGUUAUGAAGGUUUGUUUAUGUUGUGGUAUGUGGAAAUGAGUAGAAAUUAUGGAAAUAAGGAAGUUUGCAAAGUGGGUAUGUAUAUAUAUAUGUAGCCAUGAGUGUAUAUAUGUUGUAUACAUAUAUGAGUUGAAUUUUAUGUUGUAUUCUAGUUGUGGUUAUGGUGAAAAUUAUAUUGGGAAUGAAAGUUGAAUGAAUUUUGGUUGAAGUUGGAAUGUAGAAGAUUAUGUCACUUUAGAAUGAUUUUGUGAUAUUAUGGAAAUGAAGUUGUUAAGAUGUGAAUUAUAAUUAUGGUUGAUGAAAUUGGAAGAUGGAAAUAUGUUAUGAAUAUGUAGGUUGAAGAUUUGAAGUUUUGGGUGAAUUAUGUUUUGGUGGAAAGUUUGUAUAUUUUGUAUAUCUUGUGAAUAUUUCGUAGAAAUGAUAUGAAAUAUUUCCAAAUUAUAUUGUGAUGAUCUAGAUUAAUGAUGAAUGUGAAACCAUUGAGAUUAGUUUGGAAAUUGAAGUUGAAAUGAAGGUUAUGACAUUAUGUUGGAAAGAUAGCUAGUUAAGUUAUAUUGUGUUUAUAGUGAUUGUUGUUGUUGUUGAUGUUGUUGUUGGGUUGUUGUUGAUUGUUUUGGCCGAGUUAAAUUCUCGGGGAUGCUAUAUGUAUAGGGGAGAUGCUGCCCAAAUUUCUGUAGGCAAUUAUGAAUAAAGAUUGAAUACUUAAAGAUUGGAAAUUGAGAAUUGGUAAAUGUGACCAAUUGCAGAUUUUGGGCGAAACGGGAAUUGAAUUUGGAAAGGCGUAAAGAGCAUAUAAGGUACCGACGACAGGUUUGCUGAUCCGUCCGCUUAGGAUCUUAUUCUGCUAUUUUGGAGCGCUCCUUUAUCCGGAGCCUAUAUUUUGGUACAAUCUUCUGCUAUUGUAUAUAUGUACGCUAUUCAGGGGUACGACGGGGCCCUGUCCCAUCUUAUGAUUCUGUUAUGUUCUGUAGAGGUCUGUAGACAUACUUGUGUGGGUUCUGUAUAUGUUUUGGGUUGUUAUGAUCGGUGAUGGCCUUAUCGGCCUCUACGUGCAAAAUCUGUUCAUCUGUGAUAUUUAGUAGCGCCAACUAACCUUUAUAUUAAUAUAUUUUGAUAA